UUACCUUUAUUUAAAACACUUAUUUUCUAUUUAACUUGAAAUUAAGAUUACAUUAAAUAAUGAUCAUUUAUUUAUUUUAUAUAUAUGAAUAAAUAAACAAUAAAAUAAAAAUAAUCUGGUCAUGGGUGUCAUUGUAGCAACUUAUUUGGAGGGGACCUAUUUGUAUUUUUUCACUUUUUUCUUUAAAAAAAUAAUAUAACAUUACAAAAAAAAUUCCCUCUCCUCCUUUCUCCCCGACGCCAACUCCUUCUGCCCCCACUCCCUUCUAUUUCUAACCACAACCCCGUCGCUAGCCACCAAACUUUUCUCUUCCUUCCCAUUUCUUGGCGGUGCCGUCCUUUUCCCCUUCCCUCUCGCUGUUUCCUCGCCACAGCAAGAAGAAGAAGUCGCCUCCUAUGCUGCCAUUGUUGGUUCAACCUUUUGCUGCCGUCCUUUCGCCUGUUCAACAUCGGAAUCGAGCUCCCCACUGUCGACAAGCCCAAGCCAGCUUCCCCUUGCCGUUUUUCCUCCACCGGCAGCCUUGGGAGAAUCUCACCGGAGUAGCUCCCUUCUCACCGCAAUCUAGCAGUUUCUGACAAGGGUUAAGCGGUGAUUUUGGUGUUUUUGAACUCCCCACGACUCAAGUUUCGCUUAGGCGUCUCUGGAUUCGAAAUGCGACACCAUUGGUGGUACAACGCUUUCGGAUCUUGGUGUUUUCUGAAUGCAAAUUUUCAGGUUUCGACUCUUAAUAAUUUUAUUUAGAGUUUAAAAAUUAUUUUAAAAUUAUUAGAAAAUGUUGGAUGUAUCAAUUGUUAGUUAUUAUUAAUUAAUUAAAUUAUUUAAUUAAUUAGUAAUCCGAUCCUAGAAAUACUACAGAUUAAUUAUAGCAUAAAUUAUUAUUUUAUUAUAUAAAUUGAGGCCGUGAUUAAUUAAAUUAAAUAUGAAAAAAUAAUUGUGUGAUUAUAUCGUAAAUAAUAUUAUUAUUUUGUCAGACUGUUGAUUUUGUAUUGUAGAUUUUGUAUUGUAAUAUGGGUUAUAUUG
rnacentral:lncRNA from 1 species